rnacentral:rRNA from 1 species
GACGAACGCUGGCGGCGUGCUUAACACAUGCAAGUCGAACGAAGUGGCGAACGGGUGAGUAACGCGUAAUCAACCUGCCCUUCCGAGGGGGACAACAGUUGGAAACGACUGCUCAUACCGCAUACUGAAGGAGGGGAUUGCGUCUGAUUAGCUAGUGGGAGGGGUAACGGCCCACCAAGGCGAUGAUCAGUAGCCGGUCGGGGGGGAUGGACGGCCACAUUGUGACAGGGAGAAGGCCCGGACUCCUGCGGGAGGCAGCAGUGGGGGAACUUCCGCCAUGGACGAAAGUCUGACGGAGCAACGCCGCGUGAGUGAUGACGGCCUUCGGGUUGUAAAGCUCUGUUAAGCGGGACGCGGUACCGGAAUAGAAAGCCACGGCUAACUACGUGCCAGCCGCCGCGGUAAUUC